GAUGUUAAAAUGGCGAAAUCCAACCAAGCUCGGGUAAACGGCGGGAGUAACUAUGACUCUCUUAAGGUAGCCAAAUGCCUCGUCAUCACAAAAAAGACCCGAGGUUUUGCCGGGUAAACUCGCUCUUGCCCUCACGGGUGGGACGGUUUGCCUAGCGGAGUCGAGGAGUCAGAGUACCGGACAAGUAGUUGGGAGGAGGGGCUGCAGACCCUUUUAUCCCGGCGAACGUCGUAAAGUCGCGAUCGCACCUGUGACCCAGACCUCCGGGGAUGGGAAGCGGGGAAGUGAAACCACCGAACGGGGUCACCCUAACGGGAGUCCUCUGGUAGGCACACCAAAUUGCCGCGAGAGCCAACUGACCCGAAAUCCUCGGGACUUUUGGAAGGAGCAGCAGCCAACCUUGACACGGUCGAAAGACUGUCGAUAGGGGGUUCAGAGACUAUAAGGUGUUAGGCGGGGAAACGGGACUUUUACGGGUCUUCGUGGUACUUGCUGAGGUGAAGUAGUCCGUCGCUAGGGAUGGGAAGAGUUAGGGGCGAGUGGCUCAUAAGGGUCGAGGAUCGAGAGGUAAACUCCCGAGACUUUUCCCUAAGUGUCUGCCAGCGGCCCCGUUACACUCGGUACCUACCCGACAAACAGACGUUAAUUUGUGACGCGCAUGAAUGGAUUAAUGAGAUUCCCACUGUCCCUACCUACUAUCUAGCGAAACCACAGCCAAGGGAACGGGCUUGGCACAAUUAGCGGGGAAAGAAGACCCUGUUGAGCUUGACUCUAGGCACAGAAGCGAGGUGAUUCUAAAGGUGUAGCAUAGGUGGGAGGGCCUGGCCCGACCUUGAAAUACCACCACUUGAGACAUUGCUUUGCUAAUGCUGUAACGAACGAACGGCCCCCGGGCCGCCAUCCGCAAGGGUGGCACCCGGUACGGUCAUAUUCUAGCGCUUUCCUAGUCGAGUACGACGGCUUGGCUCCUCUGGGUGAGUACCCUGGGACCGCAAGUUGGGCUUCCGGGUCUGACGAGCGUUGCUCCUGGGGGAACCAGGGAUAGUUGGGCUGUCCUCUGCUUGGCGAUUCGGGUACGUAAGCCGUGUANCAGACCAUCUGUGUUGGGGAGUUUGGCUGGGGCGGAAAACUGCUACACGGCAACGGCAGUCUCCUAAGGUCCACUCAGAGACGACAGAAACGUCUCGUAGAGCAUAAAGGCAAAAGUGGGCUUAACUUACAUUCUCAGUAGUAAUGUGAAGCAAGAAAUUGAGGCUUAACGAUCCUUAGCAGCGGGUGCCAGCCCAUGCUUGAGGUGAGAGAAAAGUUACCACAGGGAUUGAUCAAAGCGUAGCUUUCCGGGAUAUUCCAAUGGAGGUCAGUAGGGACGCCGAACACCUCCGGAGUAUCUCGUAUGACUCGGGUUUGCAGUAGUACGACCGGCUCUCCUCGCGGGGGGCUGGAGAUACGAGACAUUCUCGGGUUUGGUUCCAAAACGUAGUCAGACUCGAGAGAAGCGCAGGUUUCUCGGGUCAGGCGACGCACCUGGUUGCUGGGAACACCCAUCCCAAACGGCUUCGGUACCAAGCGUUCCCCGGUGAUUCCGGGGCGUGAAGUGUGAGCCCUUCCACCCUUCAAUGGGGGUCGGCGAGCACGGGUAAUAAUCCGAUGUCCGGGGUUGACCAGCAGGCGACAAGGACUGCCCAAGUUGGCUAAUAGGGGGAGAGUAGGGAUCUUCGGAUCUCUCCGAGCCCGACUUGCCAUCUGGUAACGGCGUCUAAGCGUCUCAACGACUGGGAAGGUGCGGGUGCUUGUGGGCCUGAAGCAGAGUUACUCCUACCCGGGGUUUCUCCGUGAUAAGGCUUGCUAGUGCUUAAGGUACAGUCUACCCCCACCCGCAAGGGUGUCCUUGGCUCCCACCCGGAGAAAUCCCGUUUGCGACGUCACGCAUUGCGAGGCGGCUUACUGCAAUAGGGCAAAUCGCCGGAUGACCCACCACUGCAGGGUCGGCCAAAGGAGAGGUUUCGUCGUUAAGUAUGAUACCCCGAGAUCGUUAGCGUAGGGAGAUUCCUGGGAUGGAGGCUUUCACCACCACCCCGCUUAAGGUUUCACCCGAGAGAUCACGAGGAGGAUGCUAUACGGCGAUUCCCGGUAUGGGGAACUGGCUUGUGGCCGCCAAGCGUUCAUAGCGACGUGGCUUUUUGAUCCUUCGAUGUCGGCUCUUCC
rnacentral:rRNA from 1 species